rnacentral:misc_RNA from 1 species
GGAAGUAAAAGCGUAACAAGGUUUCCGUAGGUGAACCUGCGGAAGGAUCAUUAUUGUAUAACCGAGGUGCGAGGGCUGUCGCUGACCCGAAAGGUCGUGCACGCCCGAGUGCCCUCACACACAUCCAUCUCACCCCUAUGUGCACCACCGCGUGGGUCCCCCUUUGGCUUGUUCGGAGGGGGGCUUACGUUUUCACACAAACUUUGUAUGCAGUGUAGAAUGUAUUUUUUGUUUUUGCGAUCACGCAAUCAAUACAACUUCCAACAACGGAUCUCUUGGCUCUC